rnacentral:sRNA from 1 species
UUGCAGCCCGACUUGAGCGGAAAUCCUUUUUUGCUUGUAGUCGAUUUCUAUUGAUACUGAAAUUCUCCUGCAAAAAAGAUUGGGAGCGGAAGGCGGAUAAAGC